UACGGGGGGAGCAAGCGUUGUUCGGAUUUACUGGGCGUAAAGGGCGCGUAGGCGGUCGUGACAAGUCACUUGUGAAAUCUCCGGGCUUAACUCGGAACGGUCAAGUGAUACUGUCGGACUAGAGUACAGAAGGGGCAACUGGAAUUCUCGGUGUAGCGGUGAAAUGCGUAGAUAUCUGGAGGAACACCGGUGGCGAAGGCGGAAACCUGGACCGGCAUUGACGCUGAGGAGCGAAA
rnacentral:rRNA from 1 species